UGAAGCAAUAUCCUCUCGCAGGGACCUACAGUGUCCCUCCCCCCAGGCUGGUGUGGGUUAUCCCCACUGUGCUUCCUGUUAGCUGGCCUAAAUCGUGUAUUCUUUGUGGCAGUGCCCUGGAACACAACUCUGCACACAGAAUGGCAGGACACUCUCUCCCAUCAGAGGCAUGCUUCAACACUGACUACACAGCACCAGUGUGACCCUGAUGAGCACUUUAUGAGAACUCUAGAAGCAGUCUUUCAAGACUUUUGGGCUAAACUGGCAGCCCAAUCAGAUUAGAAUUGGCUCAACUCCCAAGCUAGUGAUCAGAAGCACAAGAAUCAAAAUGGCGGCAGGCCUCCCAAGGGCACUAAUAGACCACAAAAAUCUGUUCGAUACCAUGACCUUCUUAGGCUGAAGGCCACACCUCCCUUGCAUUGCCUACACAAGCACUAAAAAGCAACAGACCAUACCACUCCUCUGCUAUCCCCUUAGAUGGGAAGGACUUGGACCUUAUUAGGUCUGGAGUCCGUGGAUUAUGGAUACAUGCCUAUGCACAGGCCUAAGGCUAUGGGGCUGCCUUCCCUAAAAGUCGCUCUGUUGAUGCCUUUCCAACUACUCUGUGUGUCCUGAGACUGGAAUUGGCUAAACAUGGGACUCGCUACAGCUACAGCAUAUGAUCUUUGGUGGAUU